rnacentral:rRNA from 1 species
AGAGUUUGAUCCUGGCUCAGGACAAACGCUAACGGUGUGCUUAACACAUGCAAGUCGAACGGGCGAUACAGGCGUGGCAACACAUCUGUAAAGCUAGUGGCGAACGGGUGAGUAACGCGUAGGCAAUCUGCCUUGGAGAUUGGGACAACCAUUCGAAAGAAUGGCUAAUACCAAAUACCUUGUAUUAAUCGCAUGAUUUUUAUAAUAAAGGGGGCUUCGGCUCCCGCUUCAAGAUGAGCCUGCGUCCUAUUAGCUUGUUGGUGAGGUAACGGCUCACCAAGGCAACGAUGGGUAGCCGGCCUGAGAGGGUGAUCGGCCACAUUGGGACUGAGAUACGGCCCAGACUCCUACGGGAGGCAGCAGUGGGGAAUAUUGCGCAAUGGGCGAAAGCUUGACGCAGCGACACCGUGUGAAGGAUGAAGGCCUUCGGGUCGUAAACUUCUGUCAAUUGGGGACGAAGGUGCUGAAGUUAAUACCUUUUAGCACUGACGGUACCCAAUAAGGAAGUCUCGGCUAACUCCGUGCCAGCAGCCGCGGUAAGACGGAGGAGGCAAGCGUUGUCCGGAAUCAUUGGGCGUAAAGAGCGCGUAGGCUGUCUUUCAAGUCAUAUGUGAAAACCUUAGGCUUAACUUGAGGAUUGCAUAUGAAACUGAAUGACUUGAGUGCAGUAGGGGAAAGUGGAAUUCCUGGUGUAGCGGUGAAAUGCGCAGAUAUCAGGAAGGACACCAGUAGCGAAGGCGGCUUUCUGGGCUGCUACUGACGCUGAGGCGCGAAAGCUAGGGGAGCAAACAGGAUUAGAUACCCUGGUAGUCCUAGCCGUAAACGAUGGACACUAGGUGUGGGGAGUUAUCGACGCUUUCCGUGCCGAAGUUAACGCAUUAAGUGUCCCGCCUGGGGAGUACCCGCCAAGGCUAAGAACUCAAAGGAAUUGGACGGGGGCCCGCCACAAGCGGCGGAGCAUGUGGCCUUAAUUUCGACGCAACCGCGAAGAACCCUUACCAAGGCUGACAUCAUAUGACGGUUAUAGAGAUAUGACUUCUCUUCGGAGCGAUAUAGACAGGUGGUGCCUGGCGUCGUCAGCUCGUGUCGUGAGAUGUUGGGUUAAGUCCCGCAACGAGCGCAACCCUUGUCCCAUGUUGCUAACAGGUUAUGCUGAGAACUCUUGGGAAACUGCCGGCGUAAAGCUGGAGGAAGGUGGGGACGACGUCAAGUCAUCAUGCCCUUUAUGUCUUGGGCCGCACACGUGCUACAAUGGACCGUACAAAGAGCUGCGAUACCGCGAGGUGGAGCAAAUCUCUUAAAGCGGUUCAAAGUCCGGAUUGAAGGCUGAAAUUCGCCUUCAUGAAGUGGGAGUCGCUAGUAAUCGUGGAUCAGCAUGCCACGGUGAAUACGUUCCCGGGCCUUGUACACACCGCCCGUCACACCACGAAAGUUGGAAACACCCAAAGAUAGUAUACCAACCAGCAAUGGGGGAAGCUAUUUAAGGUGGAGCCAGUGAUUGGGGUGAAGUCGUAACAAGGUAGCC